GCCUUCUUAGCUCAGUCGUCAGAGCAUCAGACUUUUAAUCUGAGGGUCGUGGAUUCGAGUCCCACAGAAGGCG
rfam:Toxocara canis scaffold1503, whole genome shotgun sequence.